rnacentral:rRNA from 1 species
UACAGAGGGUGCAAGCGUUUAAUCGGAAUUACUGGGCGUAAAGCGCGCGUAGGUGGUUUGUUAAGUUGGAUGUGAAAUCCCCGGGCUCAACCUGGGAACUGCAUUCAAAACUGACAAGCUAGAGUAUGGUAGAGGGUGGUGGAAUUUCCUGUGAGCGGUGAAAUGCGUAGAGAUGGGAGGAACACCCGUGGCGAAGGCGCCAUCUGGACCAGCACUGACGCUGAGGCACGAAAGCGUGGGGAGCAAACAGG